ACGUUUACUCUGCUCGAUUCUGAGCAAAGUAAACUCUCGUAGCAUUUGCUCAACUUGGUAUGAAUAAAAGUAUACUUUACUCAGGUUGGACUUUAGCAAGUUCGAAUUUCGAACAUAGCUUUUACUCCGUCAAUAUUCUGCCAUAAAUGGUUGCUCCAAACUGAAUUGAAAAGACUUGAUCUACGCCGUGUUAAAGUUAAGAUAAACCAUUCUUGGUGGAGAACCAGGUUGUUCUCACGCCGCGCCGUUGCUGCAAUUGCAGAUGAUGCUGCUGUGCAGAAACAAAAAAUAUGCCUUCGUUUAUCAGAGAUAACACAAUCCAGUUGCGUAAAAUAAGUAAACCAAGCAGGAUCAAAGGAAAACAGUAUGUAUAAAAUGUAUCGAAAAAGCCUGCUAUCAAAAAAUAAGGUGAAGUGCUAUGUUGACGGCUUGAAAUGGUCCAUGAACUGCACCUGCGGAAGUUUACAGCGAUUUACAUUAGCGAACCAAUUCUCUUCGUGAAUGCUAGGUGACUUCAGCGAAAAGAAAUGUCAGAAUAAGCAACUCUCCUGCUUCCAGUGUAUUUGCCUGUAUCUGAUCCACCAGCCCCGCUAUCAAGAAACCGGGGCCGAGAUCGACAUUCCUACAAAUCCGUGUUUCAAAAUACUGAGCCAAAAAAUAAAAAAAAAAUGUUUAUGCAACGAUUAAAAUAUAGUUCUCGACGCAUUCACGAGCCCAGUUAAAAAUAUAUAGUUUUACGCCAGCAAGCUGAAAGCCAAGGGUCGCGUUUGCUAAUGAAAUGAAGAUGUCGAUUAAAUAGCGCAGUUUUAUUGCAUAGUGUAGUGUUAUUUCAUAGGAGCUACAGAGAAAUCACGUACUGUGCUACCAGAUUGUGUGGAAACAAUCGCCAAACUCACUAUCUCGGAUGACACAAUUGCCAUCAUAUACUUUAACCACACAAAAGGCAUCAGUAAAUCGAGCAGCAGUCAGCGCAAAUUAAACAGCUGGUUUUCAUACGAUCGGAACAUUCACACAGGCAAUGCAUUCAAAAGAAAAAUUUUAGUUACGAAAUUUAUGUCAACCCGUUCGGAGAUUGGUCUACAAAGCAUGGAACAGUUUUUUACUUAAUGAAUAUCGGCCCGGUAUUCCUAUUUAGCAAUGCAGUUUGAACGAAAACGAUCACUUGUGCUACCGAGGGCUCUUCCCUACAACCAAGUGAUAAUGUAAAAGUUACGGAACUAUACGUGCCAUCAGUUUACUGGUAUCAGCCAGGAUAGUGAGAAACCUGAGAGAGAAUUGAAACAGCAGUAUACUGCCCAAGUAACUAAUAAGCAUGCUGAAUGCUUCUUAACGGCUACUUGAUAAGCAUUUAAGUCGUUUUAAAUGCUAUUUAAAAGUCGCUUUUGGUAAAAUAUACGGCUACAUUACUAUGAAAAUGCUUUUUUACUACUGUUGUGCACUCAGAAUGCUGCUUACUGGCAAGAAGUUUUUAAACAGUUUUUCAAAUGCUGAUUAACAACAGUUAUGCAUAACGAAUGCCAGCAUACUGCAAGAAGCAU